rnacentral:rRNA from 1 species
AUUGAACGCUGGCGGCAUGCUUUACACAUGCAAGUCGAACGGUAACAGGCCGCAAGGUGCUGACGAGUGGCGAACGGGUGAGUAAUGCAUCGGAACGUGCCCAGUCGUGGGGGAUAACUACUCGAAAGAGUAGCUAAUACCGCAUACGAUCUAUGGAUGAAAGCGGAGGACCGUAAGGCCUCGCGCGAUUGGAGCGGCCGAUGUCAGAUUAGGUAGUUGGUGGGGUAAAGGCUCACCAAGCCAACGAUCUGUAGCUGGUCUGAGAGGACGACCAGCCACACUGGGACUGAGACACGGCCCAGACUCCUACGGGAGGCAGCAGUGGGGAAUUUUGGACAAAGGGCGCAAGCCUGAUCCAGCAAUGCCGCGUGCAGGAAGAAGGCCUUCGGGUUGUAAACUGCUUUUGUACGGAACGAAACGGCUCUGGUUAAUACCCGGGGCUAAUGACGGUACCGUAAGAAUAAGCACCGGCUAACUACGUG